GACGAACGCUGGCGGCGUGCUUAACACAUGCAAGUCGAACGGAAAGGCCCUGCUCUUGUGGGGUGCUCAAGUGGCGAAAGGGUGAGUAACACGUGAGUAACCUGCCCUUGACUUUGGGAUAACUUCAGUAAACUGGGGCUAAUACCGGAUAGGAGCUCCUGCUGCAUGGUGGGGGUUGGAAAGUUUCGGCGGUUGGGGAUGGACUCGCGGCUUAUCAGCGUGUUGGUGGGGUAGUGGCUUACCAAGGCUUUGACGGGUAGCCGGCCUGAGAGGGUGACCGGCCACAUUGGGACUGAGAUACGGCCCAGACUCCUACGGGAGGCAGCAGUGGGGAAUAUUGCACAAUGGGCGGAAGCCUGAUGCAGCAACGCCGCGUGCGGGAUGACGGCCUUCGGGUUGUAACCCGCUUUCGCCUGUGACGAAGCGUGAGUGACGGUAAUGGGUAAAGAAGCACCGGCUAACUACGUG
rnacentral:rRNA from 1 species